rnacentral:other from 1 species
CGCUCUCUGCGGUGUUCGAGUAGAGGGCUGGGUAACCCCUUGAUCCUAAUUAAUUUUACCCCAGGGAGAAAGCUGUCGGCGUGGUGUGCAUGUCCGCCUUGUAGCGGAAAGCCUGAUAUGCCGCUCCGUUCCCCCACUUGAGCCGCCUGGUUCAAGGGCAAAGGCCCGAGACGGCACAGGCGGAGAGCGC